AGUGAACGCUGGCGGUAGGCCUAACACAUGCAAGUCGAACGGCAGCACAGUAAGAGCUUGCUCUUACGGGUGGCGAGUGGCGGACGGGUGAGGAAUACAUCGGAAUCUACUUUUUCGUGGGGGAUAACGUAGGGAAACUUACGCUAAUACCGCAUACGACCUACGGGUGAAAGCAGGGGAUCUUCGGACCUUGCGCGAUUGAAUGAGCCGAUGUCGGAUUAGCUAGUUGGCGGGGUAAAGGCCCACCAAGGCGACGAUCCGUAGCUGGUCUGAGAGGAUGAUCAGCCAAACUGGAACUGAGACACGGUCCAGACUCCUACGGGAGGCAGCAGUGGGGAAUAUUGGACAAUGGGCGCAAGCCUGAUCCAGCCAUACCGCGUGGGUGAAGAAGGCCUUCGGGUUGUAAAGCCCUUUUGUUGGGAAAGAAAAGCAGCAGGUUAAUACCCCGCUGUUCUGACGGUACCAAAAGAAUAAGCACCGGCUAACUUCGUG
rnacentral:rRNA from 1 species